AUUGAACGCUGGCGGCAUGCCUUACACAUGCAAGUCGAGCGGCAGCACGGGAGCAAUCCUGGUGGCGAGUGGCGAACGGGUGAGUAAAGUAUCGGAACGUGCCCAGUCGUGGGGGAUAACGUAGCGAAAGUUACGCUAAUACCGCAUACGAUCUAUGGAUGAAAGCGGGGGAUCGCAAGACCUCGCGCGAUUGGAGCGGCCGAUAUCAGAUUAGGUAGUUGGUGGGGUAAAGGCUCACCAAGCCGACGAUCUGUAGCUGGUCUGAGAGGACGACCAGCCACACUGGGACUGAGACACGGCCCAGACUCCUACGGGAGGCAGCAGUGGGGAAUUUUGGACAAUGGGCGAAAGCCUGAUCCAGCCAUGCCGCGUGCAGGAUGAAGGCCUUCGGGUUGUAAACUGCAUUUGUACGGAACGAAAAGGUUUGGCCUAAUAAGCUGAGCUCAUGACGGUACCGUAAGAAUAAGCACCGGCUAACUACGUGCCAGCCGCCGCAGUAA
rnacentral:rRNA from 1 species